rnacentral:rRNA from 1 species
UACGUAGGGUGCAAGCGUUGUCCGGAAUUAUUGGGCGUAAAGAGCUCGUAGGCGGUCUGUUGCGUCCGCUGUGAAAACUCGGGGCUUAACCCCGAACUUGCAGUGGGUACGGGCAGACUAGAGUGUGGUAGGGGAGACUGGAAUUCCUGGUGUAGCGGUGAAAUGCGCAGAUAUCAGGAGGAACACCGAUGGCGAAGGCAGGUCUCUGGGCCAUAACUGACGCUGAGAAGCGAAAGCAUGGGGAGCGAACAGG